GAAUAAACCUGAUGAGUUGCUGCUGGUUCUCUAGGGAGCAAUGUGCACACUUGUUAUCUUUAUAUAUCUCCACCUGUGCACCUUUUGUAGACCUUGGAUUAUCUUUCUGAAUGAAUACAUGCAGGUUUGAGGAUUGGCUUUCUGUCUUUCCUUACAUUUUCCUGGGUCUAUGUUUUUCCAUAUACGCAUGCCAGUUAAUAGAAUGUAACAAAUGGGUGCUUUGCACCUAUAAAGUUGUACAACUUUCAGCAACGGAUCUCUUGGCUCU
rnacentral:misc_RNA from 1 species